rnacentral:tRNA from 1 species
GCCUGGGUGGCUCAGUUGGUUAAGCAUCUGACUUCGGCUCAGGUUAUAAUCUCAUGUUUGUGGAUUUGAGCCCCACGUCAGGCU